GGCUUAGAGUUUGAUCAUGGCUCAGGAUGAACGCUGGCGGCGUGCCUAAUACAUGCAAGUCGAACGCGAGCCUUCGGGCUCGAGUGGCGAACGGGUGAGUAAUACGUAAGCAACCUGGCCUUUACAGGGGGAUAACUGAUGGAAACGUCAGCUAAGACCGCAUAGGUACAGAGAUCGCAUGAUAACUGUAUUAAAAGUGCUACGGGACUGGUAGAGGAUGGGCUUACGGCGCAUUAGCUUGUUGGAGGGGUAACGGCCCACCAAGGCGACGAUGCGUAGCCGACCUGAGAGGGUGACCGGCCACACUGGGACUGAGACACGGCCCAGGCUCCUACGGGAGGCAGCAGUAGGGAAUUUUCGGCAAUGGGGGGAACCCUGACCGAGCAACGCCGCGUGAAGGAAGAAGGAAUUCGUUCUGUAAACUUCUGUUAUAAAGGAAGAACGGCACAUAUAGGGAAUGAUAUGUGAGUGACGGUACUUUAUGGGGAAGCCACGGCUAACUACGUGCCAGCAGCCGCGGUAAUACGUGGGUGGCGAGCGUUAUCCGGAAUUAUUGGGCGUAAAGAGGGAGCAGGCGGCAGCAAGGGUCUGUGGUGAAAGGCUGAAGCUUAACUUCAGUGUGCCAGAGAAACCGGGCAGCUAGAGUGCAGGAGAGGAUCGUG
rnacentral:rRNA from 1 species